UCUGUGCAGCUCAGACCAAGAACGGGGCAUCCUCUACAAACUGCACUACUCUUGCAAAGUUAAGUUCUCAUUAAAGGAGAAAGCUAAAGAUGAGGAGUUUGAAGAUGAAUUUUUCCACAAGGUAUUGAAGAAAAGAAGAACCAACAUGAAAGACACAGCGGAAACGAAAAGAUAAGUUUUAGAUACUUGAACAUGACAAAAUGAUUAUUCUGCACCUUGUCUCUAAACAUGUAUCAUUUUUGCAUUUGAUUACUGAUUAUUUUCCAUCAUACAGUUGUGCUCGUCAUCCUUCUGUUUUCCAUUGCGAGCUCAGCAGCUUGCACCUC